rnacentral:rRNA from 1 species
GGGGCAGCAGUAGGGAAUCUUCCGCAAUGGGCGAAAGCCUGACGGAGCAACGCCGCGUGAGUGAUGAAGGUCUUCGGAUCGUAAAACUCUGUUAUUAGGGAAGAACAUAUGUGUAAGUAACUGUGCACAUCUUGACGGUACCUAAUCAGAAAGCCACGGCUAACUACGUGCCAGCAGCCGCGGUAAUACGUAGGUGGCAAGCGUUAUCCGGAAUUAUUGGGCGUAAAGCGCGCGUAGGCGGUUUUUUAAGUCUGAUGUGAAAGCCCACGGCUCAACCGUGGAGGGUCAUUGGGAAACUGGAAAACUUGAGUGCAGAAGAGGAAAGUGGAAUUUCAUGUGUAGCGGUGAAAUGCGCAGAGAUAUGGGAGGAACACCAGUUGGCGGAAGCGACUUUUCUGGUCUGUAACUGACGCUGAUGUGCGAAACGUGGGGGAUCCAAACGGAAUUAGAAACCCUGGUAAUUCCA